UCACCCCUAGUUGACAGUUUACUUUCUGGAACAACUAAAAGUCCCAGGCUGGAGGAUCUGAGGGGCCGAGCUGGACAGUAGGGGGUUAAUAAAUCUGUUAAAUAGUCAGGUGCCAAACCAUGUAAUGCUUUAUAGGUAAUAAGGAGGAUUUUAAAAUCAAUCCUAAAACUCACUGGCAACCAGUGAAGAUUGGCCAGAACUGGGGUGAUGUGUUCCCUAAAUUUAGACUUUGUCAAAAGUCUGGCUGCUGAAUUCUGAACAGUUUAAAGUAGCAGCAGACAGCUUCAGUA